UACGUAGGGUGCGAGCGUUAAUCGGAAUUACUGGGCGUAAAGCGCACGUAGUCGGCUUUGCAAGUCGGUUGUGAAAUCCCCGGGCUCAACCUGGGAACUGCAUCCGAGACUGCAUUGCUAGAGUAUGGGAGAGGAAAGCGGAAUUUCUGGUGUAGCAGUGAAAUGCGUAGAUAUCAGAAGGAACAUCAGUGGCGAAGGCGGCUUUCUGGGCCAAUACUGACGAUCAGGUGCGAAGGCGUGGGGAGCAAACAGG
rnacentral:rRNA from 1 species